rnacentral:ncRNA from 1 species
UAUCUGGUUGAUCCUGCCAGUAGUCAUAUGCUUGUCUCAAAGAUUAAGCCAUGCAUGUCUAAGUACAAACCUUAAUACGGUGAAACCGCGAAUGGCUCAUUAAAUCAGCUAUGGUUCCUUAAGAUCGCUCAUCCUACUCGAUAACUGUGGAAAAUCUAGAGCUAAUACGUGCUUACAAGCCCUGACCUCACGGGAGGGCGCAUUUAUUAGAUCAAAACACAAUCGGGGCUUGCCCCGUCUGCUUGGUGACUCUGGAUAAUUUUGUGCUGAUCGCAUGCCUGCUCUGCGCUGGCGAACGUAUCUUUCAAAGUGUCUGCCCUAUCAACUUACGAUGGUAGGUGAUAUGCCUACCGAUGGUUAUAACGGGUAACGGGAAUCAGGGUUCGAUUCGCGGAGAGGGAGCCUGAGAAACGGCUACCACAAUCUAAGGAAG